rnacentral:rRNA from 1 species
GAUGAACGCUGGCGGCGUGCCUAAUACAUGCAAGUCGAGCGAACAGAUAAGGAGCUUGCUCCUUUGACGUUAGCGGCGGACGGGUGAGUAACACGUGGAUAACCUACCUAUAAGACUGGGAUAACUUCGGGAAACCGGAGCUAAUACCGGAUAACAUAUUGAACCGCAUGGUUCAAUAGUGAAAGGCGGCUUUGCUGUCACUUAUAGAUGGAUCCGCGCCGUAUUAGCUAGUUGGUAAGGUAACGGCUUACCAAGGCAACGAUACGUAGCCGACCUGAGAGGGGGAUCGGCCACACUGGAACUGAGACACGGUCCAGACUCCUACGGGAGGCAGCAGUAGGGAAUCUUCCGCAAUGGGCGAAAGCCUGACGGAGCAACGCCGCGUGAGUGAUGAAGGUCUUCGGAUCGUAAAACUCUGUUACCAGGGAAGAACAAAUGUGUAAGUAACUGUGCACAUCUUGACGGUACCUGAUCAGAAAGCCACGGCUAACUACGUG